rnacentral:rRNA from 1 species
GACGAACGCUGGCGGCGUGCUUAACACAUGCAAGUCGAACGGAAAGGCCCUGCUUUUGUGGGGUGCUCGAGUGGCGAACGGGUGAGUAACACGUGAGUAACCUGCCCUUGACUUUGGGAUAACUUCAGGAAACUGGGGCUAAUACCGGAUAGGAGCUCCUGCUGCAUGGUGGGGGUUGGAAAGUUUCGGCGGUUGGGGAUGGACUCGCGGCUUAUCAGCUUGUUGGUGGGGUAGUGGCUUACCAAGGCUUUGACGGGUAGCCGGCCUGAGAGGGUGACCGGCCACAUUGGGACUGAGAUACGGCCCAGACUCCUACGGGAGGAGGCAGUGGGGAAUAUUGCACAAUGGGCGGAAGAAUGAUGCAGCAACGCCGCGUGCGGGAUGACGGCCUUCGGGGUGUAAACCGCUUUCGCCUGUGACGAAGCGUGAGUGACGGGAAGGGGUAAAGAAGCACCGGCUAACUACG